rnacentral:rRNA from 1 species
CAAAAACAUGUCCUUUAUGAAUUUUAUUUAAGGUUUUACCUGCCCAAUGAUUUUAUUUAAUGGCCGCGGUAUUUUAACCGUGCUAAGGUAGCAUAAUCACUUGUCUUUUAAUUGAAGGCUGGAAUGAAUGGUUGGACGAAAUAUUAUCUUUCUUUAAUUUAUUAAUUGAAUUUAAUUUCUUAGUUAAAAAGCUAAGAUUUUUUUAGGGGACGAGAAGACCCUAUAGAUCUUUAUAAGUUUAACUUUUAAAUGUUUUAGGUAAUUUUAAGUUUAAUAGUUGAAUUUAUUUGGUUGGGGUGACUGUAGAAUUUGAAAAGCUUCUGCUUAGCAUUAUUUCAUUAAUUAAUGUUUUUUUGAUCCAUUAUUAAUAAUGAUUAAAAGUUUAAGUUACCUUAGGGAUAACAGCGUAAUUUUUUUGGAGAGUUCUUAUCGAUGAAGAAGUUUGCGACCUCGAUGUUGGAUUAAAAUAAGUAAAUUGGUGCAGUAAUUAUUUUACUAGGUCUGUUCRACCUUUAAAGUUUUACAUGAUCUGAGUUC